UUCCUACGGGAGGCAGCAGUGGGGAAUAUUGGACAAUGGGGGGAACCCUGAUCCAGCCAUGCCGCGUGUGUGAAGAAGGCCCUCGGGUUGUAAAGCACUUUCAGUGAGGAAGAACGCCUGGUGGUUAAUACCCAUCAGGAAAGACAUCACUCACAGAAGAAGCACCGGCUAACUCCGUGCCAGCAGCCGCGGUAAUACGGAGGGUGCGAGCGUUAAUCGGAAUUACUGGGCGUAAAGCGCACGCAGGCGGUUUGUUAAGUCAGAUGUGAAAUCCCCGCGCUUAACGUGGGAACUGCAUUUGAAACUGGCAAGCUAGAGUCUUGUAGAGGGGGGUAGAAUUCCAGGUGUAGCGGUGAAAUGCGUAGAGAUCUGGAGGAAUACCGGUGGCGAAGGCGGCCCCCUGGACAAAGACUGACGCUCAGGUGCGAAAGCGUGGGGAGCAAACAGGAUUAGAUACCCUGGUAGUCCA
rnacentral:rRNA from 1 species